rnacentral:rRNA from 1 species
AUUGAACGCUGGCGGCAGGCCUAACACAUGCAAGUCGAGCGGUAGAGAGGUGCUUGCAUCUCUUGAGAGCGGCGGACGGGUGAGUAAUGCCUAGGAAUCUGCCUAGUGGUGGAGGAUAACGUUCGGAAACGGACGCUAAUACCGCAUACGUCCUACGGGAGAAAGCGGGGGAUCUUCGGACCUCGCGCCAUUAGAUGAGCCUAGGUCGGAUUAGCUAGUUGGUGAGGUAAUGGCUCACCAAGGCGACGAUCCGUAACUGGUCUGAGAGGAUGAUCAGUCACACUGGAACUGAGACACGGUCCAGACUCCUACGGGAGGCAGCAGUGGGGAAUAUUGGACAAUGGGCGAAAGCCUGAUCCAGCCACUAGCCGCGUGUGUGAAGAAGGUCUUCGGA